CACAAGUUCUCCUUUGCCUGAGCUGAUGGUUCUAUGGUCCUGUCUGAAAUAAGGGAAUCAGCAGAUCAUUUCUCAUGGCUUCCUCCUCUCAACCUAGGAACUGGCAUUCCUUCGAUUUAGAAAUGUUUCUGCAAACCAAGAAUUCAGGAAUGGCUCAGCUGACCAGCCUGGCCCAGGGUCUCUCCUGAGGUUGAAGUCAGAUGUCCACUGGGGCUGGUGGAUUCACUUCCAAGACGGCACCAAGACACACGACUGGCAAGCUGGUACUGGUUUUUAGCUAAGAACCUCAGUUCCUGUACACCCAUGCCUCUCCACAGGCUGUUUGAGAGUCCUCAAUGCAUGGCAGCUGGCUUCCUACAGAGUGAGCGAUCCAAAAGAGCAAGAAUUUGUAAGCCCUGUGGCAUCAGAGACAGCAGCCGUCUUGUUUACUACAAUUCCAGGACCUAGCAAAGUACCUGGCCCUUCAUUAUUGAACAAACAGCUUCUGAUAUCCUGGAUACCAAUCAUCAGAGUCUGCCUUUUUAGUCAGUCCUGAUCCUUAUAAAAUGGAUAGACUGGGAUUAACCAUUCACCCAACAAUGACUCUCAAUCCAAAUCAAACCAAGAUCCCAAAGGCCUUGGUCAAAUGCAUUAUCAAAGCCAAAUGAAUGUGUUCCUCCCUAUUAUCUUAAGCUGUGUAUUUUUCAGGAUGAAAGACUGUUCUGGCUGUAUUCAACCUUCCUGAACCUAAAGUAGGCACUCAUGCAAUGCCCACAAAGAAAUCAUGACAGAACUUGAGUCUGGAUAGCCCACCUCCAACUAUCACCACUUUAUAGACUUUUGGUACAUUUCAGUAGUCUUUGAGCACAUGGCGUCUUAUCAAAAAAAGCUACAGAAAAAAACAGUCUGCACCAACCACCAUCCCCUCACCCUCCAAACCCCAAUACUCAUAAGAAAGAAGUCAAGCCAAACUUGACCAUGCAACAGGAUUCUCACCUCUCCUUACUUCGAAGAUGCCAAGACUGCCAGCUGGGGAUGCUGAAGGUUCUGUGAGAGCUGGAAAGCCCCAAUGCUGUGGAUAAAUACACAUCUCUGCAACAAGUCUAUUUCAGUAUAAAGGAUCAAAUCCCCAGGGGCUGCUGCUGUUUGAAACAAUUUAAGGGUCCAAAUCUCAAGCCCCUAAACUCAAAACUACUUUGGGAUAAGUUAUCUAUAUGGAAGAACAAUGCCUGAACAGAGCUUCUGGAAGCUAUAUAUAUAGUACCAUAUAUUUUCGGAAUGAUGAAUUUCACGUUCUCUGGUAGCAUACUUCUCUUCAUAAGGAGGUUAUCUCCUAGAAACACUAAACAUUUAUAAUAUCUGAGCUUGGACUGAGAAAGAUGGCCAUGAAGUGGUGUCUCUCAGGAUAACACCAGAAUCCUAGUCUACUCGAGGAUGGGUAACUGGUAAGGCUGACAACAUUCAGAACUCAGGAACUGAGGCCAGGAUUGGAGGAGGGGCUGUUUGCCACAAACCCACAGGUCUUACUGCAAAUGGCCAAAUAGACCAUUAAAUACUUACAGGAUACCUCCAGGUCUACCUCAAGUCCCAAGAAAUUCAAAGUGUAACCAAACCCUAAGUCAAAUCAUUAACGGACACCUAUCAUACUCAUCACCUAAUUUAGAUCUUUCAGAAGAUUAGAAGCUGCAGAGGUGCUCCUGUAAGUGGGCAAUGCCCUUUGCACAAAGAAACACUUAGGUUUGGAACCAAUCUAUUCCUGUCUACCACUCUACACAUUUAAGACUUUAGCCUACUCAAAUCCCUUAGGAAAGACCACUCACCAACCUAACCGACCACAAAGAAUACACUUUUCAAAAUGAAAGAGAAUAAAGGCACUUUUAUUUGGAAAUUUCAAGUUGGAAGGAGAGCUCUCAGCCAAGCUCUAGGA